rnacentral:rRNA from 1 species
GAUGAACGCUGGCGGCGUGCCUAAUACAUGCAAGUCGAGCGAACAGACGAGGAGCUUGCUCCUCUGACGUUAGCGGCGGACGGGUGAGUAACACGUGGAUAACCUACCUAUAAGACUGGGAUAACUUCGUGAAACCGGUGCUAAUACCGGCUCAUAUAUUCAACCGCAUGGUUCAAUAGUGAAAGACGGUUUUGCUGUCACUUAUAGCUGGAUCCGCGCCGCAUUAGCUAGUUGGUAAGGUAACGGCUUACCAAGGCAACGAUGCGUAGCCGACCUGAGAGGGUGAUCGGCCACACUGGAACUGAGACACGGUCCAGACUCCUACGGGAGGCAGCAGUAGGGAAUCUUCCGCAAUGGGCGAAAGCCUGACGGAGCAACGCCGCGUGAGUGAUGAAGGUCUUCGGAUCGUAAAACUCUGUUAUUAGGGAAGAACAAAUGUGUAAGUAACUAUGCACGUCUUGACGGUACCUAAUCAGAAAGCCACGGCUAACUACGUG